rnacentral:rRNA from 1 species
GUGGGGAAUAUUGGACAAUGGGGGGAACCCUGAUCCAGCCAUGCCGCGUGUGUGAAGAAGGCCUUAUGGUUGUAAAGCACUUUAAGCGAGGAGGAGGAGCUCUAGGCUAAUAUCCUAGAUGCUUGGACGUUACUCGCAGAAUAAGCACCGGCUAACUCUGUGCCAGCAGCCGCGGUAAUACAGAGGGUGCGAGCGUUAAUCGGAUUUACUGGGCGUAAAGCGUACGUAGGCGGCUUUUUAAGUCGGAUGUGAAAUCCCUGAGCUUAACUUAGGAAUUGCAUUCGAUACUGGGAAGCUAGAGUAUGGGAGAGGAUGGUAGAAUUCCAGGUGYAGCGGUGAAAUGCGUAGAGAUCUGGAGGAAUACCGAUGGCGAAGGCAGCCAUCUGGCCUAAUACUGACGCUGAGGUACGAAAGCAUGGGGAGCAAACAGGAUUAGAUACCCUGGUAGUCCAUGCCGUAAACGAUGUCUACUAGCCGUUGGGGCCUUGGAGGCUUUAGUGGCGCAGCUAACGCGAU